UUUUAACUAAUUUAUUAAAACAUUUUACAGUUGUAGUAAAGGCGAUUGAAACAUCUUUUGGAGUAAUAUUUUUAGUACCGCAAGGGAACAGUGAAAUAAAAAUGAAAUAACUAUUAAGCACCUAAUAGUAGAGACCUUCCCUCGUACCUUUUGCAUCAUGAUUUAACUAGUUUAUCCAAGCAUAAUGUAUUAAAGUUUGCCUCCCCGAAACUAAGCGAGCUACUUCAAGGCAGUUCCAAGAACUAACCCGUCUCUGUAGCAAAAGAGUGGGAAGACCUUCAAGUAGAGGUGACAGACCUAACGAGCUUAGUGAUAGCUGGUUACUUGAGAAAAGGAUCUUAGUCCAACCCAACUCUUAUAAAAUACACCUAAAUAAAAACUAAAAUUUGGAGUAAUUCAAAUAAGGUACAGCCUAUUUGAAUCAGGAUACAACCUCAAUAAAUGGGUAAUUAAACUUUUAUGUAAUAAAGUAGGCCUAAGAGCAGCCAUCUUCAAAAAGCGUCAAAGCUUAUUCACAAAUCAACUUAAUCCCCCUAAUUUUUAAAAACCCUUAAUCUCUAUCAAGUAACUCUAUAAAAUUAUAGAACCUAUUAUGUUAAAACUAGUAACAAGAACAAGAACUUCUCUCUAAUGCAAGUGUAAAUCAGACUGGACAAACCACUGAUUCUUAACACUUUGAAGCCAGAGUAAUAACCUACCAAGAAAAUCUUACUUCACUUAAUGUUAACCUGACACAAGAGCAUUCUCAGACAGNUUAAAAGGAAUAGAAGGAACUUGGCAAAUAUUAACCUCGCCUGUUUACCAAAAACAUCGCCUCUUGAUAAUAUAUAAGAGGUCCAGCCUGCC
rnacentral:rRNA from 1 species